UUGCAGUAGCAGACGAAAUCUUUUUUUAAAAGGAAUAACAUAAACAUUUGGGGUCCUAGUGAAGACUGUGACAGUGAAGUUGUUCCAGUGUAUUCGUCUCUUUCAUUUAUUCGUCUGGAAACCCUGAAAUUGUCAGGGAUAUGAAAAGUUGUUUUCGUAGGAAGUGUCUUCGACAGAUAACGCUCAGUGUGUCUUGUAAAAAUGUUGCCAUAACAUAGCACAUCCAGUUUACCAGAAAAAUUCGUCGGAAAACCUUCUAAUAAGGAUUUUAAAGAUGUAACGCGAAAGGAAGCAUCAGCCUUCGAUCAACCCAGCAACCCUUUCAUAAUUGACGUCCUGCUGAAUGCAUCAUCCAGUUAAUACAGGUCACUAAUCCCAGCGUGGACAUGUAUUGUUUUUUUCCGAACAUGUUUUACUACAAAUGUUGCAUUGACAGACAAGGAAAGCUAUGGAAAACAUUAUGUAGGACAUGACAUGAGUAAUCUUAGAAGUCACGUGAAAAGAUGCAGGGCAGGGCACUUACCAAAAUGUUCAACACUGCUGCAACUGUCUACAGUCACAGGCAGGAAUAUCGCUCUCUUUCUUCAGACAAUUGCAAAGCUAUUGGAGUAAUUUAGUCUUCAUCCCCACUUGACUCAUUUUGUCUUCUGGGUAGCUUAGGAAACCUGAUUGGUGUUAUCAAGCCAUUUUGAUAAUAACCGAGAGGAUGCAGCCUACAGACUGUGAACAUCAGAUGGGGUUAGACUUCAGCAUCUCUACGAGCCACGACGGAAACGUGCAGUGACAUCCUACAAGUUCUACGCGAAUCAUCUUUUGUUACUGUUGGUAAUAUGUUUUGUUAGUUAAUCCGUUGGCUGCCACGCCUUUGUUUCCCCCAUGUUAGCUCCUUAGCACGGGCCGCACUGUUUGGUCUCUUGGUCUUAUGUGCCUUGGGAUCGAACAGCUGCACCUGCCCAAGAUUCGCCGAAAGGCCCUGUUAGGCAAUGCACCAUAGGGACUUCCCCCCUUGUCGAUACGGUGAUGGAUUCUAG